GAUGAACGCUGGCGGCGUGCCUAAUACAUGCAAGUCGAGCGAACAGACGAGGAGCUUGCUCCUCUGACGUUAGCGGCGGACGGGUGAGUAACACGUGGAUAACCUACCUAUAAGACUGGGAUAACUUCGGGAAACCGGAGCUAAUACCGGAUAAUAUAUUGAACCGCAUGGUUCAAUAGUGAAAGACGGUUUCGCUGUCACUUAUAGAUGGAUCCGCGCCGCAUUAGCUAGUUGGUAAGGUAACGUCUUACCAAGGCAACGAUGCGUAGCCGACCUGAGAGGGUGAUCGGCCACACUGGAACUGAGACACGGUCCAGACUCCUACGGGAGGCAGCAGUAGGGAAUCUUCCGCAAUGGGCGAAAGCCUGACGGAGCAACGCCGCGUGAGUGAUGAAGGUCUUCGGAUCGUAAAACUCUGUUAUUAGGGAAGAACAAAUGUGUAAGUAACUAUGCACGUCUUGACGGUACCUAAUCAGAAAGCCACGGCUAACUACGUG
rnacentral:rRNA from 1 species